UACGGAGGGAGCUAGCGUUAUUCGGAAUUACUGGGCGUAAAGCGCACGUAGGCGGCUAUCCAAGUCAGAGGUGAAAGCCUGGAGCUCAACUCCAGAACUGCCUUUGAAACUAGAUGGCUUGAAUCCAGGAGAGGUGAGUGGAAUUCCGAGUGUAGAGGUGAAAUUCGUAGAUAUUCGGAAGAACACCAGUGGCGAAGGCGGCUCACUGGACUGGUAUUGACGCUGAAGUGCGAAGGCGUGGGGAGCAAACAGG
rnacentral:rRNA from 1 species